rnacentral:rRNA from 1 species
GCGGAGGAAACAUGUGGUUUAAUUCGAUGAUACGCGAGGAACCUUACCCGGGCUUGAAUUGCAGAGGAAGGAUUUGGAGACAAUGAACGCCCUUCGGGGCCUCUGUGAAGGUGCUGCAUGGUUGUCGUCAGCUCGUGCCGUGAGGUGUCGGCUUAAGUGCCAUAACGAGCGCAACCCCUCUCCUUAGUUGCCAUCAGGUCAAGCUGGGCACUCUGGGGACACUGCCACCGUAAGGUGUGA